rnacentral:rRNA from 1 species
UACGUAGGGUGCGAGCGUUAAUCGGAAUUACUUGGCGUAAAGCGUGCGCAGGCGGUUCGUGAUGUCUGAUGUGAAAGCCCCGGGCUCAACCUGGGAAUUGCAUUGGAAACUAGCGGGCUGGAGUGUGGCAGAGGGGGGUGGAAUUCCACGUGUAGCAGUGAAAUGCGUAGAGAUGUGGAGGAACACCGAUGGCGAAGGCAGCCCCCUGGGCUAACACUGACGCUCAUGCACGAAAGCGUGGGGAGCAAACAGG